UAGGGAAUCUUCCGCAAUGGGCGAAAGCCUGACGGAGCAACGCCGCGUGAGUGAUGAAGGUCUUCGGAUCGUAAAACUCUGUUAUUAGGGAAGAACAAAUGUGUAAGUAACUAUGCACGUCUUGACGGUACCUAAUCAGAAAGCCACGGCUAACUACGUGCCAGCAGCCGCGGUAAUACGUAGGUGGCAAGCGUUAUCCGGUAUUAUUUGGCGUAAAGCGCGCGUAGGCGGUUUUUUAAGUCUGAUGUGAAAGCCCACGGCUCAACCGUGGAGGGUCAUUGGAAACUGGAAAACUUGAGUGCAGAAGAGGAAAGUGGAAUUCCAUGUGUAGCGGUGAAAUGCGCAGAGAUAUGGAGGAACACCAGUGGCGAAGGAGACUUUCUGGUCUGUAACUGACGCUGAUGUGCGAAAGCGGGGGGAUCAAACAGG
rnacentral:rRNA from 1 species